AACCGCAAUUGACGUGGACCUA
rnacentral:siRNA from 1 species